rnacentral:rRNA from 1 species
AGUGAACGCUGGCGGUAGGCCUAACACAUGCAAGUCGAACGGCAGCACAGUAAGAGCUUGCUCUUACGGGUGGCGAGUGGCGGACGGGUGAGGAAUACAUCGGAAUCUACUUUUUCGUGGGGGAUAACGUAGGGAAACUUACGCUAAUACCGCAUACGAACUACGGGUGAAAGCAGGGGAUCUUCGGACCUUGCGCGAUUGAAUGAGCCGAUGUCGGAUUAGCUAGUUGGCGGGGUAAAGGCCCACCAAGGCGACGAUCCGUAGCUGCACUGAGAGGAUGAUCCGCCACACUGGAACUGCGCCACGCUCCUGCCUCCUGCGGGCGGCCGCCGUUGUUAAUCUUGCACACUUGACGCAAGCCUGAUCCAGCCAUACCGACUCGGUGAAGAAGGCCUUCGGGUUGUGUACCCCUUUUGUUGGGAGAGAAAACCGGCUGACUGAUACCCCGCUCUCCUGACGGUACCCUACGACUACGCCCCGGCUAACUUCGUU